CGAGGUCAAGCAAAUCCCAUAAAGUUGUUCUCAGUUCGGAUUGUAGUCUGCAACUCGACUACAUGAAGCUGGAAUCGCUAGUAAUCGUAGAUCAGCAUGCUACGGUGAAUACGUUCCCGGGUCUUGUACACACCGCCCGUCACACCACGAGAGUUUGUAACACCCGAAGCCGGUGGAGUAACCUUUUAGGAGCUAGCCGUCGAAGGUGGGACAAAUGAUUGGGGUGAAGUCGUAACAAGGUAGCCGUAUCGGAAGGUGCGGCUGGAUCACCUCCUUUCUAAGGA
rnacentral:rRNA from 1 species